UUGAACGCUGGCGGCAUGCCUUACACAUGCAAGUCGAAGCGGCAGCAGCGGGGGGCAAACCCUGGCGGCGAGCGGCGCAACGGGUGAGUAAUACAUCGGAACGUGUCCUCGUUGUGGGGGAUAAACCAGUCGAAAGGACUGGCUAAUACCGCAUGAUCAUGGAGACAGUGCAAAGCAGGGGGACUCGCAAGGGCCUCGGCGCGAUAGGAGCGGCCGAUGUCCCGAUUAGCUAGUUGGUGGGGUAAAUGGCCCCACCAAGGCGACGAUCCGUAGCUGGUUUGAGAGGAAUGAUCCAGCCACACUGGGACCUGAGACACGGCCCAGACUCCUACGGGAGGCAGCAGUGGGGAAUUUUGGACAAUGGGGGCAACCCUGAUCCAGCCAUGCCGCGUGAGUGAAGAAGGCCUUCGGGUUGUAAAGCUCUUUUCGGUGCGGAACGAAAAUCGCGUACGAGUGACAAUCCUCGUGGACUACUGACGGUACUCGAAGAAGAAGCACCGGCUAACUACGUGCCAGCAGCCGCGGUAAUUACGUAGGGUGCGAGCGUUUAAUCGGAGUUACUGGGCGUAAAAGUGUGCGCAGGCGGCGCCGUAAGACAAGUCGAGUGUGAAAGCCCCGAGCUUAACUUGGGAACUGCGCUCGAAAACUACUUGGCUAGAGUGUGGCAGAGGGAGGUGGAAUUCCACGUGGUAGCGGUGAAAUGCGUAGAGAUGUGGAGGAACACCGAUGGCGAAGGCAGCCUCCCUGGGCCAACACUGACGCUCAUGCACGAAAGCGUGGGGAGCAAACAGGAUUAGAUACCCUGGUAGUCCACGCCCUAAACGAUGAUGACUAGUUGUUGGAGGAGUUAAAUCCUUUAGUAACGCAGCUAACGCGUGAAGUCAUCCGCCUGGGGAGUACGGUCGCAAGAUUAAAACUCAAAGGAAUGACGGGGGCCCGCACAAGCGGUGGAUGAUGUGGUUUAUUAAUUCGAUGCAACGCGAAAAACCUUACCUACCCUUGACAUGCUAGGAACGCUGCAGAGAUGCAGCGGUGCCCGAAAGGGAACCUGGACACAGGUGCUGCAUGGCUGUCGUCAGCCUUCGUGUCGUGAGAUGUUGGGUUAAGUCCCCGCAACGAGCGCAACCCUUGCCAUUAGUUGCUACAUUCAGUUGAGCACUUCUAAUGGGACUGCCGGUGACAAACCGGAGGAAAGGUGGGGAUGACGUCAAGGUCCUCAUGGCCCUUAUGGGUAGGGCUACACACGUCAUACAAUGGCGCGUACAGAGGGUUGCCAACCAGCGAUGGGGAGCCAAUCCCAGAAAAGCGCGUCGUAGUCCGGAUUGAAGUCUGCAACUCGACCUCAUGAAGCUGGAAUCGCUAGUAAUGGCGCAUCAGCUACGGCGCCGUGAAUACGUUCCCAGGCCUUGUACACAACCCGCCCGUCACAUCAUGAAAGCCGUUUGUACCCGAAGUCGCUCCUCAAAAAAGUGCCGAAGGUAAUGGAUGGUGAUUGGGAUGAAGUCGUAA
rnacentral:rRNA from 1 species